GGAUGUGAUCAUACCAGUACUAAUGCACCAAAUCACAUCAGAACUCCGAAGUUAAGCGUGUUUGGUCGAGAGUAGUACUAAAAUGGGUGACCAUUGGAAGUCCUCAUAUUGCAUCCC
rnacentral:rRNA from 1 species